rnacentral:rRNA from 1 species
UGGGGAAUUUUGGACAAUGGGGGAAACCCUGAUCCAGCCAUCCCGCGUGUGCGAUGAAGGCCUUCGGGUUGUAAAGCACUUUUGGCAGGAAAGAAACGUCAUGGGUUAAUACCCCGUGAAACUGACGGUACCUGCAGAAUAAGCACCGGCUAACUACGUGCCAGCAGCCGCGGUAAUACGUAGGGUGCAAGCGUUAAUCGGAAUUACUGGGCGUAAAGCGUGCGCAGGCGGUUCGGAAAGAAAGAUGUGAAAUCUCAGAGCUCAACUUUGGAACUGCAUUUUUAACUACCGGGCUAGAGUGUGUCAGAGGGAGGUGGAAUUCCGCGUGUAGCAGUGAAAUGCGUAGAUAUGCGGAGGAACACCGAUGGCGAAGGCAGCCUCCUGGGAUAACACUGACGCUCAUGCACGAAAGCGUGGGGAGCAAACAGG